GGCUCAGUAACAAGUAGUCAAUCUGCCCUAAGGACGGGAGCAACCUCGGGAAACUGAGGCCAAUUCCCGAUGCCCCAUCUAUGCUGGAAUGCUUGAUGGGGAAAAUGCGCGGCAAAUCGUAGCCGUUGCGCCUUAGGAUGAGACUGCUCCUGAUUAGGUAGUUGGUGAGGUAACGGCUCACCAAGCCGAUAAUCAGUAGGGGCAAUGGGAGUUGGCGCCCCGAGAAGGGCACUGAGACAAGGGCCCUAGUCCUACGGGAUGCAGCAGGCGCGAAACCU
rnacentral:rRNA from 1 species